UACGAAGGGGGGCUAGCGUUGCUCGGAAUUACUGGGCGUAAAGGGCGCGUAGGCGGGUGUUUAAGUCAGAGGUUAAAUCCCAGAGCUCAACUCUGGAACUGCCUUUGAUACUGGACACCUAGAGUUCGGGAGAGGUGUGUGGAACUCCGAGUGUAGAGGUGAAAUUCGUAGAUAUUCGGAAGAACACCAGUGGCGAAGGCGACACACUGGCCCGAUACUGACGCUGAGGCGCGAAAGCGUGGGGGAGCAAACAGG
rnacentral:rRNA from 1 species